CCUACGGGUGGCAGCAGUGGGGAAUAUUGGACAAUGGGCGAAAGCCUGAUCCAGCCAUGCGCGUGUGUGAAGAAGGCCUUCGGGUUGUAAAGCACUUUCAGUGGGGAAGAAAGCCUUGGGGCUAAUACCCUCGAGGAAGGACAUCACCCACAGAAGAAGCACCGGCUAACUCCGUGCCAGCAGCCGCGGUAAUACGGAGGGUGCGAGCGUUAAUCGGAAUUACUGGGCGUAAAGCGCGCGUAGGCGGUCUGAUAAGCCGGUUGUGAAAGCCCCGGGCUCAACCUGGGAACGGCAUCCGGAACUGUCAGGCUAGAGUGCAGGAGAGGAAGGUAGAAUUCCCGGUGUAGCGGUGAAAUGCGUAGAGAUCGGGAGGAAUACCAGUGGCGAAGGCGGCCUUCUGGACUGACACUGACGCUGAGGUGCGAAAGCGUGGGUAGCAAACAGGAUUAGAUACCCUUGUAGUC
rnacentral:rRNA from 1 species